rnacentral:rRNA from 1 species
GACGAACGCUGGCGGCGUGCCUAAUACAUGCAAGUAGAACGCUGAAGGAGGAGCUUGCUCUUCUGGAUGAGUUGCGAACGGGUGAGUAACGCGUAGGUAACCUGCCUGGUAGCGGGGGAUAACUAUUGGAAACGAUAGCUAAUACCGCAUAACAGUAGAUGUUGCAUGACAUUUGCUUAAAAGGUGCAAUUGCACCACUACCAGAUGGACCUGCGUUGUAUUAGCUAGUUGGUGGGGUAACGGCUCACCAAGGCGACGAUACAUAGCCGACCUGAGAGGGUGAUCGGCCACACUGGGACUGAGACACGGCCCAGACUCCUACGGGAGGCAGCAGUAGGGAAUCUUCGGCAAUGGACGGAAGUCUGACCGAGCAACGCCGCGUGAGUGAAGAAGGGUUUCGGAUCGUAAAGCUCUGUUGUAAGAGAAGAACGAGUGUGAGAGUGGAAAGUUCACACUGUGACGGUAUCUUACCAGAAAGGGACGGCUAACUACGUG